GACUCUCGACAACGGAUAUCUCGGCUCUCGCAUCGAUGAAGAACGUAGUGAAAUGCGAUACUUGGUGUGAAUUGCAGAAUCCCGUGAACCAUCGAGUUUUUGAACGCAAGUUGCGCCCGAAGCCUUUUGGCCGAGGGCACGUCUGCCUGGGCGUCACG
rnacentral:rRNA from 1 species